GGGGAAUUUUGGACAAUGGGCGCAAGCCUGAUCCAGCAAUGCCGCGUGCGGGAUGAAGGCCUUCGGGUUGUAAACUGCUUUUGUAGGGAACGAAAAGCCUCUCUCUAAUACAGGGGGCUGAUGACGGUACCGUAAGAAUAAGCACCGGCUAACUACGUGCCAGCAGCCGCGGUAAUACGUAGGGUGCAAGCGUUAAUCGGAAUUACUGGUCGUAAAGCGUGCGCAGGCGGUUUUGGAAGACAGUGGUGAAAUCCCCGGGCUCAACCUGGGAACGGCCAUUGUGACUGCAAGGCUGGAGUGCGGCAGAGGGGGAUGGAAUUCCGCGUGUAGCAGUGAUAUGCGUAGGUAUGCGGAGGAACACCGAUGGCGAAGGCAAUCCCCUGGGCCUGCACUGACGCUCAUGCACGAAAGCGUGGGGAGCAAAAA
rnacentral:rRNA from 1 species